rnacentral:rRNA from 1 species
UACGUAGGGGGCAAGCGUUGUCCGGAAUCAUUGGGCGUAAAGCGCGUGUAGGCGGCCAAGCAAGUCGGGUGUGAAAGCCCUCAGCUUAACUGAGGAAGUGCGCCCGAAACUACAUGGCUUGAGUACCGGAGAGGGUGGCGGAAUUCCCGGUGUAGAGGUGAAAUUCGUAGAUAUCGGGAGGAACACCAGUGGCGAAGGCGGCCACCUGGACGGCUACUGACGCUGAGACGCGAAAGCGUGGGGAGCAAACAGG